rnacentral:rRNA from 1 species
AUUGAACGCUGGCGGCAUGCCUAACACAUGCAAGUCGAACGAGUGGCGGACGGGUGAGUAAUGUCUGGGAAACUGCCUGGUGGAGGGGGAUAACUACUGGAAACGGUGGCUAAUACCGCAUACCAUCAGAUCGGCCCAGAUAGGAUUAGCUAGUUGGUGGGGUAACGGCUCACCAAGGCAACGAUACCUAGCUGGUCUGAGAGGAUGACCAGCCACACUGGAACGGAGACACGGUCCAGACUCCUACGGGAGGCAGCAGUGGGGAAUAUUGCACAAUGGGCGCAAGCCUGAUGCAGCCAUGCCGCGUGUAUGAUGAAGGCCUUCGGGUUGUAAAGUACUUUCAGCAGGGAGGCGUUACCUGCAGAAUAAGCACCGGCUAACUACGUGCCAGCAGCCGCGGUAAUUC